ensembl:lincRNA
GGGAGAGGAAGAGGUGUACACACUCUUAGAGGAUGAGGAGGAAGUGGCUGGGGAGAUUGAUGAGCUAAGGAAUGGACUACAGCUUGGGGCGAAGCUCGUUGAACUCUGGCAAGGCACCAACACAAGCCUUCUCUCCAGACACAGACACACACACAAGUAUACACACAUGCACACAAGUACACACACACAUGCACACAUAUGCAUGCACACACACAUACACAGACACAUAUGGACAUACACACAUGGAUAUACGCGUACAGGACGUGACUAUGGUAACUAGUUUGGUUUAACCAUUCCACAUUAUAUCUAUCAACACAUCGCAUUGUACCCCGCACAUAUAUGCAAUCAUAAUUCACCAAUAAAAAAGUGAAUUUUGGAGACUGGAGAGGUGACUCAGUGUUAAAAAAACUAGUACUAUUCUUCUAGAGGAACUGAGUUAAAUUCCCAGCAUCCACAUUGGGUAGCCUGUAACUCCAUAUCCAGAGGUCAACAUCUUUGGCCUCCAUAGGUACCCACAUACAUGCAUACAUACAUAGAAAUAAAAACUUUCAAGUACA